AGUAGUCUUUUUAUGAAUACUAUCAAAAUUAACUAAUCUAACUGAGAAGCAUUUACAGAUUUUAAAAGCUAUAUAAAAGCUACAGCUGAGCAAAUUAUAAGAAAAUCAAGGCAAGUUUACAGAAAUAUAAGAAAAACACGAUGACUAUACAAGACUAUACAACAAGAACUUAGAAAAGAGAGAAGCAAAGUCCUCUAGAGAAAACGAACUAAAGUAAAGAUAUCUAAAAUAUUUGACCAGAAAACAAUAAGCAAAGCCAAUAGCCAGCAGCCAGUGAUGCUUGAAAGAAGCUUUAAAGAUAUCGGAAAAUUAAAUUAAAUAAGUGCAGCUGCAUAAACAGAUAAGCUAAAGAAAUAAUAAAUGUACCAGAUAUUAACAUAUUUGAAGGGAAAUCCACUGAAACUAGCUUUGUUUAUGAUGUCAAAUCUUAAAGAGAAAACUUUUAAGGCAAAAUAUAUAUGCAUAAGACAUAAAGUAGUAUCAACAUAGUUAUAGCAAUAAACAAGAUAUAUAGUUUGAUAGAUAAGCCUCAGAAUGGGAAGCAUUGAAUAUGCACCGCUAGCUCGCUGCCGCUGCCGCAUCUGCCACCAGUGGCAGACGUCAAUGAUUCAUGUUUACAUGGGCUGCGGCCAGCGUUUGCGACUCGUCGAGAAAAUGAAGGCAUAUGGCCUGAAGAUAACGCCAACCGAUCUAUACCCCAAAACGAUAUGCAAGAAAUGCAUCGAUGUGCUAGAGACAAAUUAUUUUUUCCAAAAUACGCUCAAGCUGAUAUCGACGAGAGGGAAAUUGGCUUGAAGUUUUCUUCUCCAAAUGUGGUUCAACUAUAUUCGUAUUCAACUAUUCUUCAGAGUAAAAGAAUUCAUUGUUUUCAGGUUUUCACUCCACAGCAUUUGAUCUAUCUCCUCUCAAAGCUAUUCAGCAUUUGUUCUAUCAACUAUGCCUCAAACUUUAGAAGACAAUAGAUCGUGCAGCUGGCAUAGCUCUGCAGCUGCAAAGGACUUGUUUUUACUUUUUUGUCUAUUUUAUUUUUGGGAAUUUCAGCGAAAUGGAAUUUGAUUCGGUUCGGAAAGCUUUUACCUGGCCUAGAACUAGCUGAAGCUCAACUCCUGCUGGAAUUCUUCUAUUCUAUCUAAUAAAAUCUAAACCGAACUAGCUGAACCCAACCCAACUCAACUCAAACUCGAACACAAACACUGAGAACCCAACUGAAUUUAAUGUUGCCCCAUUCAAAGUUGUUUGUUUUUUAUUGUUGCUGUUGUUGCAGUUGACACGCCUGUUGCUUUUAUUGUUGCUGUGUGCGUGUGUGUGCGUGUGUUAUCAAGACAAAACUUGACCCACAUACAAGUUUAUUAACCGGUUUCUGGCAGCGCAUCAAUUUCCAGCGAAAAAAACCAAAUGAAAAAGGGUUGCAAAAAUUGCUGAGCAAAUUCUUGACUUAGAAGCACAAAGAAAAACUUUGUAGUUGAUAAAAAAAAUCAACAACUAAAUACAAUGAACAUGCUUAUAAAUCAGCAGAAGUUAGAGCAUUUUA